UACGUAGGGGGCAAGCGUUGUCCGGAUUUAUUGGGUUUAAAGGGUGCGUAGGCGGCGUAGUAAGUCCGUGGUGAAAGCCAACAGCUCAACUGUUGAACUGCCAUGGAUACUGCUAGGCUUGAGUACAGACGAGGUAGGCGGAAUGGAUAGUGUAGCGGUGAAAUGCAUAGAUACUAUCCAGAACACCGAUUGCGAAGGCAGCUUACUAGACUGUAACUGACGCUGAGGCACGAAAGCGUGGGGAGCGAACAGG
rnacentral:rRNA from 1 species